CCCUUAGCUGUCCUGGGCUGCACGCGCGCUACACUGAUGUGUCCAGUAAGCACCUAACCUCUUCCGAAAGGAACGGGUAACCUUUGCAAAGCACAUCGUGAUGGGGAUAGAUUAUUGCAAUUAUUAGUCUUGAACGAGGAAUUCCUAGUAAGCACAAGUCAUCAGCUUGUGUUGAUUACGUCCCUGCCCUUUGUACACACCGCCCGUCGCUCCUACCGAUUGAAUGUUCCGGUGAGCUCUUCGGACUGCGCGGUCUGCAGUUUCUGCGUUCCGUGCGGAAAGUUGCGCAAACCUUAACAUUUAGAGGAAGGAGAAGUCGUAACA
rnacentral:rRNA from 1 species